rnacentral:rRNA from 1 species
UGCAGUCGAGCGGUAACAGAUCCAGCUUGCUGGAUGCUGACGAGCGGCGGACGGGUGAGUAAUGCAUAGGAAUCUGCCCGAUAGUGGGGGAUAACCUGGGGAAACCCAGGCUAAUACCGCAUACGUCCUACGGGAGAAAGGGGGCUCCGGCUCCCGCUAUGGGAUGAGCCUAUGUCGGAUUAGCUAGUUGGUGAGGUAACGGCUCACCAAGGCCACGAUCCGUAGCUGGUCUGAGAGGAUGAUCAGCCACAUCGGGACUGAGACACGGCCCGAACUCCUACGGGAGGCAGCAGUGGGGAAUAUUGGACAAUGGGGGAAACCCUGAUCCAGCCAUGCCGCGUGUGUGAAGAAGGCCCUCGGGUUGUAAAGCACUUUCAGCGAGGAAGAACGCCUAGCGGUUAAUACCCGCUAGGAAAGACAUCACUCGCAGAAGAAGCACCGGCUAACUCCGUGCCAGCAGCCGCGGUAAUACGGAGGGUGCAAGCGUUAAUCGGAAUUACUGGGCGUAAAGCGCGCGUAGGUGGCUUGAUAAGCCGGUUGUGAAAGCCCCGGGCUCAACCUGGGAACGGCAUCCGGAACUGUCAAGCUAGAGUGCAGGAGAGGAAGGUAGAAUUCCCGGUGUAGCGGUGAAAUGCGUAGAGAUCGGGAGGAAUACCAGUGGCGAAGGCGGCCUUCUGGACUGACACUGACACUGAGGUGCGAAAGCGUGGGUAGCAAACAGGAUUA